ACGGGUGAGUAACGCGUAUCCAACCUGCCGUCUACUCUUGGACAGCCUUCUGAAGGAAGAUUAAUACAAGAUGGCAUCAUGAGUCCGCAUGUUCACAUGAUUAAAGGUAUUCCGGUAGACGAUGGGGAUGCGUUCCAUUAGAUAGUAGGCGGGGUAACGGCCCACCUAGUCUUCGAUGGAUAGGGGUUCUGAGAGGAAGGUCCCCCACAUUGGAACUGAGACACGGUCCAA
rnacentral:rRNA from 1 species